CGCCCUGGGUUAGUCGGGACCUAAGCUGAGGCCGAAAGGCGUAGGUGAUGGACAACAGGUUGAUAUUCCUGUACUACCGAUAACCGUUUGAGAGAAGGGAUGACACAGUAGGAUAAGCUAAGCACACUGGUGGUUAUGUGUGCCCAAGCAUUGAGGCAGUCAAAGUAGGCAAAUCCGCUUUGAUAAUGCUGGGAGGUGAUGGGGAGCGAAAUUUAGUAGCGAAGUAGCUGAUUUCACACUGUCAAGAAAAGUCUCUAUCGAGGUUAAAGGUACCCGUACCGC
rnacentral:rRNA from 1 species